CCAGCACAAGCCGCUUGUGUACCGCGAUGUGGCGCUCCGUGGUGCGGGGUCGCACUCCCACUGAGUCUGCCCACGGGUCGGAGAGCCCCCUGCCGCCAGCCCGAAGCGCGGCGUCGUCUUCCCCCAUCGCGGCUGCGAAGGCGGCGGCGUUCGGUCCUCUGGGUGGAAUGUGCUCGCAGCAGCAGUGACGGCGGCCACAGCACGGGAGGCACCCGAGCCAUACACCCUGCAGCUGGAGAGAAAAGGAUGGCCGAGGUGGGAGAGACUAGAGUGAACCAGCAGGAGGAAGUCCCAGGGCCGCGAAGCUACGACGGAGAUCCGUCCUGGAAAAGCCUUCUCCACCCUGGGCACUUUAAGCGGCGGUGGCGGCAAACGGCAGGAGGUUGCAGACCCGACAGCGAGCCUCCCUCAUUCCAGUCUUGCUCUGCCCUCCGGAGAUGACAAGUGAGAAAGAAGUGUCCGGCCGGGCCAUCCCCUUCAGGUAGAUGAAGCUCUGGGUUUGCUCCAUAUCCCUAGGGGGAGAGCCGAAGUGCGUAUGUCCGAGCGCGUGUGCAUGUGUGUGCGCGUGUGUGCCUGUGUGUAUAUACACAGGCUUCGGGUUUAGAUUGCCAGGGCUACUCCAGCUGCAUUGAGGGACUGAAACUCCCCGAGAAAGGCAAAGGAGAGGGAGCGCGCGAGGAGGCAGGAAAGGCGGGAGGGAGGGGAGCGGCUGAGCGGCAGAGGCAGGCACUGGGAGAUUAGAGAGCUUUUCUCCGCUCUGUCACACCAGACACCCACAGCCACAGAGGGGGUUGCUGAGCCGCCUGCAAGAAGUACAUUGUAAAUCUUCAGCGCAACAAGCCCCGCAGUCACCCCUCUUCCUGACUCCUUAGCCCCACCGCGCUCCAGGGAGAGAUCCUUGGAGCCUUUGGCUAUUAACAUAGAGAGCAAAAGAAGAUCCUGCUAGGGAGAUGUGGCUGUGUCUGAUUUCACAUCAAGCUCGCCAGAGGAUUUGGAGGAUUGUAUGUAAAUUGAAAUAAAUUCUCCAAAACCUGACUACAUACAUUACAUUGCACUGUGCGAUGUGUCCAGGUGUGCAGUACUAAAAUAAUGUUAGCAAUGAAGCAUUAAAAUCCUCCGGAAGUAAAGGCCAAAGCAAGGUGAUGUUUUCCCCAUAGGAUAAUUCCCAUCUUUAGAUUGGGGAAACGAUUAAAACACAAUGCCUACAGUGUAACAUUCAGGACCAAAACCCUGAGACUGAGAAAAGCUGGGCUUAAUAGAACGGUGAACGAAUACAUUCCAUGAUUGGUCAGUUUUUCAUUUCACCUAGCCAUAAUUACUUUCUUGCAGCUUUCCAGUGUUACCAUGAACAUUGUUUAAACUUUGUUAGGAUAGUUAUCAAUAGACAGUUUGCUGACAGCAGGCAGCAUCAAAAUAGGUUCAUAGCCCAUUGGCUGGUUAUGGACUCUUGUCUGAGUAUACUGGAGUUUAAAAUUAUACUGCAGAGUAUGUAUAAGUAUGUGGGAUAUCCAACCUUCAGAAUUUGUGCGAAGAACUCUAAUUGGAACAAUAUUCAGAAAACAGCCACCCCAAAGGUGACAUCUAGGAAGCAGGAGUCUCCAGUGUUUAGUAAAACAAAGUGUGAUUGGCUUCUGGGUUAAUUAAAAAAGUGAAUAAUAGAAAGAAAAUUAGGUAAUUCCUUUUUACAUGUUUCUUUCAUGUCUUCAAAUCUUGAAGGCAUUUUACAAAUCAUGUCCAUAGCUAUUUUCUUACAAAAAGAACUGGUUAAUGCUUCUGGCUUUGGAGUACUGAAAAUAGACAAUUAAAAUAUUGUGUUUGGCUUUAAAAGCAUGACCAAAGAGAAGAGACCAAUUACACAUUAACCUUAGCUUGAUAACCACUAAAAACACAGCCCUGCUCGAGGAAGCCCUUUUUCAUUUAUCCCCAGAUGGGAUACAUGCUCAAUGCCAUGCAUUCUAAAUGUCCAUUUGAAUCAUUUUUAAAUGAUGAUGAAAAUAAGUGCCAGGGUGGGAUUUUUUAAGCAUGUUGUAUGUGGGCCGUUAGCAACAGACCAAGGGAAAUGCCACAUUCUGUUCAAGUUACUUUUUUCUGCUCUGUUUUUAAAUGUCUGUACUCUUGCUGUCCAUAUGUAUCUGGCUGUAUGCAUUUUAAGAGUUGAGGAGUUGGGGUUCAUUGGUUUGUUUUCACAGAAUCAGGAACUAUAGUGCAAGCAAGUAAGAGGAGCCCUGCGAUCCUCAGCAGGUCACCAGACUUCUCUGACUUUAGGGUUUUAAACUGGUAAUUUAGUAUUACUGAUCCAAUAUCCACGGAUUGAAUACAUUUGAUUAUCAGAGGCUUCUGGAAUCAUCCCGGGGAGUCUAAGACCCACUGCCUAAAGGAAGAGGUUACCCACUAAGGGAUCUUUAAGACUUUCUGUUUCUAAAACAUUAGUCAAGAAAAGAUUCAAAGAAGGCUUUUUCUGUUUGUCUUUUUUUUUAAAUGCGUACAAAUUUGUGGGAUACACGAGAAAUUUUGUUACAUGCACAUAAUAUGUAGUGAUCAAAUCAGGGUAUUUAAGGUGUCCAUCACCUGAGUACAAUACAUUUUUGCAAGGUAUAGUCACCCUACUGUGCUCUCAAACAGUGAACAGCUAGAUUCCUUCUGUCUUGCUGUGUGUUUGUACCCUUUAACCCAGUUCUCUUCAUCUUUCCCCUUUCCCUCACUCACGGUUCUCAGUCUGUUAUCUCUUUCCUCUCUUUACCUCCAUCUGUUCUUCUUUGUAUUUCAUUAAUGUGUUUAUGUACUUCUGAAAAUUACUACAAGGAAAGUCUCAAAUAUUUCAGAAUUAAAUAAUACAUUUACCAAUUAAUAAAGUCUCUACUAACUGUGAUUAAAUUAGUAAAUGGAUUAUUUUUUCAGACCCAAGUGGAGUGGACAUAAGAUUAAUAUAGAAUGGACACAACUUACUAGCUCAUGGAUUCCCCUUAAAUGUAACUUUGCAUAAUAAAACUUACUAUCAAGAUCAAGUAGGUAAAUAUUUCUUCCUUUCAUAUCAGUGUUACAAAGGUUUUCAGUGAGUUUUCUUUUUUUAAUUUCUGAAAGUAUAUAGCACGCUUUCCCAAAGAAGCAAGCACUUUAGUAAAAUAAUUUUUAAAUAUUAUUUUUUCUAGACAAUGUUCAUUCUACCUUCAAAGCAAAAGUGGGGGGGUGAAAUUUCAGAGUUCACACCUCACAAAAAUAUUAAAGACAUAGUUUACUAAUAUUCCUUUUUAAAGUUGCUUUCAGUGUUAUAGGUCACUGGAUUCAAGAUAGGUUUGAUUUUACCACUACUGGGGCCAUGUGGUGCUGUAAACAAGGAAAUUAAACUUCCCAAAGUACCUGAUGUUUCUCUCAGAAACAUGUUUAUUUGUUAGGAGAAUUUUAUGAUUACUUUAUUUAGCUAAUAAAUAUCACUAAAGUCAUGAUGUGGCCAUAUUUGAUUCAGGGGCUUGUAAAAGUAAAAAUUGUGUGAAUAUUUAAUAUACAUGAGGCCAAACAGAAGUUGUUUUUAAUAAAAUCUACACCUUGGUCCUGAAAUGAUCAAAAUGAACUAUCUUCAGUGAAUGUAUUGGCUCCAGGGUCUUACUAUUUGAUUGUUUACAAUUUAACUGCUUUUGUUGUUUCUUUUCACACUGGUUUGUAUACAGAAGCACAUAGUUAGGUGUUCUCGGGUACUCAGUCUCUUCACAUGUGAGUAAAACCUCAUGUCCAGAAACAGCUUGGCUCAGGAGAAAGAACUAGAUCCUGAUCACCUUCAUCUUCCUCUAUUGUCCUAACCCAGUACUUAAUGGACUCAAUUUCUCAAUAUGUUAGUGUAAAGGAGUUAGAUUUGGGGGUAUCUUUCAGCUCUGGACUUCUGUGAAAAAUAUACAGUACAGAAGCUAACAUACUACCCUCUUUAUGUUCUCAAGAAAUAUUUAAUUAAUCUUCUUCAUGAGAAGCAAAAAAUAAUUCAGUUAAAAACUAAAACUUUAAUGGGUAAAUUUUAUAAAAGCACACUGUAGUAGAAAAAGAACAGGAGGAAACAAACAAAUCUUACUACUCUGGCAGUCAAAACUAGACUGAUGUAUCGUAUGAGAGGGAUAUGUUUCUAAAGACCUCCCUCAACUGGAGACCAAUAUGAAAAAAGAAUGGUGAAGUUUCUGUUUAGCAGCUGAAGUGGUGCCGCCAUGUGGCAAUAGCAAAACAGCAGUUUGAAAUUUGAAACUGAUCAUUUGAUGAAAUUUUUAAUUUGGAGAAAUUAACAUUACUGCAAAGUUUAUUAAUAUUUUUAUAUUGCAGACUUUCAAAAUUUUAUAACAUUUGACCCACUGAUCUGUUGAUGUUGUUGUGGGGUUUCAUAUAAGAACUACCCUUCCAGAGAGAACAUUCCUCAAGAUCUUGAAGAUGAGGAAAGAAUUAUUUAUAAUCAGCUAUAAUUGAGAUGGUGAAAUUUCACGAUUUCUGUAGUUUGUCCACAACAAUUAACACCUUCAUUUAACUGUUAGUUGUCUGACUUGUGUAUUUAAAAGGAUUAAUCUAAAUGGAAUUUACAUCUAAAUUUGAUUAUAUCUUUUUACCUCAUAAAAACCUGUGAAACCAUGAAUUUGUUUUUAUCUUUUUUCAUUUUUUAUUUUUACUUUUUAUUAUAUAUAUUUUUUUAGAGAUUAGGUCUCACUCUGUCGCCCAGGCUGGAGUGCAAUGGUGUGAUAAGAGUUCAUUGAAGCCUCAUACUUGAAGUUGUUUUUAAUAGAAAUAUUUCCUAACCUAUUAAUAUAAUACUGUGUGUUUUUAGUCCCAGAAAAGUCUCAUGAUUAUGUUUAUACCAAGCUAGAACAAGCCUCACAGCAUAAAAUGGAUAUCUCUAGAGAGCAAAUGUAAGGAAAAGAAUGACCAAAUAAUUCAAGUGUCAUUUCCAAUUUUAGCAUUACAUGUUAUAUCCAAAGAGAGAAUUAGUACCUCAGGAAAGUUAUAUCUUUAUUUGAGGGGUUCUCAUGCUAGGUUAAAACUCUUUAGCAUUCACUCUAGGCUCUUUGGUUUAUGACUUCUAUAAGAAAGCUCUAUAAAAAGUCAAAGUAUAGAUCAUGGAAAUGUUUACAAUUUAUUCAUGAAACCUGCAAACAUAAUAUAGACCAAAGUCUACAAACAAUAGAAAUUAAUUUUCCAGAAAUGUUUCCAUUAAACUAGUUAAUUUGUCUAGUCACUCAAGAAAUGGAAAUAGUGAAUAUACUCCUAUAAUUGUUACCAUGAACUUAAAUUGCUCAAAUCCAUGUUUCCAGAUAAAUAUAGCAGGAAGAAUUAAUGAAAAUAAUAAUAAUAGCUAAGAUUCUUCAAGGGCUUAACUUGUGCCAAGUAUUUGUCUAAGCAUUUUAUGCUGUCUUAUGUAAUCAUGAAAAUCACCACCUUUAGGUCAAUGCUAUUAUUUCCUCCACUUGAAAAAUCAAGAAACUGAGGCUGAAAAAGAUUAAAUAUCUUGGCCAGAGUCAUUUAAUUAGUAGAUGGCAGAGUUGGAAUUCAAAGCCACGCAGGUCAUUUCAUCACCUUUAUACUUAACCUUUAUGUCAUACUACUUCCUGAAAGGUAAGCCAAAUAUAAACUAUCCAAUUGCAUAAUGAAUACUUGCUACAUAAAUUAUGAAGUCAGUGCCAGGCACUGUGCUAGGGAUAUAGCACUGAAGCAAACAUGCCUGGUCUAUACUCUCCUUGGAGAGGACAGUGCCUAGCACAUGGUAAGUGCUACGUGUUUGUUAGGGAAUGAAUAGAGAAUGAAUAGAGAAUAAUCUAGUAUGACCCUGAACAAAGAAAUAAUUAUAAUUUUGUAAGAUAAUGAUAAAAAGAAAACCUGACAACAUUAUUACUCCUGGAUUGAGAACUAAGUAAUUGAAAGAGUUGACUAUAGCUUAUUUUCAUACUGCAGAAUAAGCAGUUUACAUGCUUUAGGAAUCUUACCUCUUCAAUGCAUCCAAAAAUAUAUAUUUAACCCAGGCUUAUUUGACAGCGCAAAUUUACAUAAUUUGAAUGGUGCCUCACCUCUCAAACUAUGAAAAAUAUCUGCUUCAAAGGCGCAAUAGAUAAAUAUUAAUGUAAAGUCACAUAAAGACAUAAAAUAUCCUGCUUUAUUUCAUCCACAUGUAUCUUCUAGUCCAUAUAUGUUUUUCUGUCUUCCAAUCAUUUAUUCCCCAUUCUUCCAUUUAAUAAUAAAAUAUUGUUUAUCACUUAAAAACUUCACUUACUACAGAUAGAUUCUGCUUAAUACAUAAAUGUUUAUCAAUAUAGCUGUUUAAAUGAGGUAAUUACAGUAUUUUCUUGAAUCUGAGUAACAAGUGAUUAUUAUAAAUGGGCUGAUGAAGAGACAUUGGAAGAAAUAUGGUGAAAUUUUUCUUUUAGAUAAUGAAAUAUCGCUAGUAUUGAGGUCAUAUCGCUGUACGUAAAUUUUAAAAGCUAAUUUUGAACUACAGUGUUUUCUUAUUUUUAAUGAUAUGUAACAUAAUAUAAAAUAUAUAUAGUUUUGCCAAGUGAGGAUUCUGGUCAAAGAUACAGUCAUGUUGACAUGAGAAACACACCUUCUGUUAGAGACUAGAUCAUAAUAUGUGUAUAUAUAACAAAUAUACAACAAUAAUUAUAAUUGUUUUAUUUUAAAACCUCACUGAAUUCCUACUUUCAAACUAUGGAAAAAGAUGUAUUCUGAUUUUUUUCUUCAGGUACUAGAUCUGUACAUAAAUAAUAUAUUUUCUUAAUCGUGAACUGAAAAAUAGCUCUUUUUUUCUGGGGGGGGGUGGGGUCCAUGCCUUUUCCUUGCUUAUAUACAGAGAUGUUUGCUAGAAAAUUACCAGUUUCUUCCACCACAUGACACUAUAAGAAUCCUCCAUAUCUCUUUAAUUUCAGGGUUACACACCAAGACUACACCAACAUACUAUUUUUUCUCUCUCUGUACAUGUUUUUCUGAGAGUAUUGUCCCAUUCACAUCCCUAUACAGGCUCAGAAGUUACUCUCCAAGUGCCUUGAAAGUUAGGUGAAAAAUAUACUUGGGGAUCCAAGAAUUAUUCUUGAAGUUCAAACAAUUAGACUUUGGCUAAAAUGGCUUUUUCUUGAUCAUUAAAAAAUUUAUUUGUAUACUAUAAUUACAAAUAUUAAAAUCUAAAUAUGUUAGUAUGCUUUGUAUUAUAAAGUUAAAUAUGUUGGGUCUUUUUUUUUUUACAUUUGUAUUAACAACAUUAAGCACUGGGCACUAUACAAAAGAUAAAAGAGAAACAGUCAGAGUUUACAAUCAAAUAAUAAUCAUGGAGUCUGUAUCUAGAAAGAGAAAUAACUUUCCCACAAAAUAACUACACAAAAAAUUCAAUUAUUAACUCUUGAAAAUAACCAGCUGUUUGAUUGAAUGAAACUUUUGGCUCUAGAACAGUCUCUAUUGAAAAAAAAAACAAUGAACCUAAAGAUAACUGUUUUGAGUUAUCAGCAUAUUAAAAUUUGGUAUCAUUUUAUGAAAUAGAUUUAAUUCUCAUAAUAGAAUUGAUUUAAUAUCUAACUUGCCUGUGAUCUUCACUUUUGUCACUUUUCUCUUUAGUGCCACCUUGUGGGUCAGCCAGUAACAAUACAUAUAUAGGGUCUGGAGGGUUUUUUGGUUUUUAACUCAGCUUGUAUUAAAGCUAGACUUACAAAGAAAUGUGAUAAUUCACAUAUGAGGCAAUUUUGUUUGUUUUCUCAGAGAAGCAACCACUUCACAAGAAGAUUCUGAAGUUGGCCAUUUUUGAUCCCAGAACAGUUUCUCAUAGAUUAGAAAUAUUGGAGUCUACACAAAAAUCGAUAUUCAUUUACAAGAUCAUCACUAAACUUAUCUUGCAUAACGUAAGUGGCAAGCUCUGACUUGUGAUUUUUUCAUAAGAAAAAUGUUUUUUAACUUAGUAUCAUUUCUACAACAAUGUCCCAUGAUAAUUGAUUCUAGGUGAUUUGAAACACUGCUUAGUCCUGUUUUAGAAAAAGCUCCCAUAUCUGAUUUAGUCUCAUAUGCAGCUUACUUCUAACAUCAGAUUGAAUUUGCAUUGAGUUACCUUACUCGGUUUAUUUUUUAAUUAUGUUGCAGUUACAAGGGAAUAAGGAAAAGUCAGUAUAGUGCGUUGAAAUGUCUUUUUUAAUUGAGACACACAAGAAAUGUGUUAUAGGUUCCCAAACAUUCUUCAUGUAUUAGAGAUGUUAUAAUAAUCUUUUGAAUAGCCAAGUGAAAAGGAAUGGUUUCACCUGAACAUGUUAGAAUUUAUUCCUACAUUUUUUGUGUGUUGUGGUGGAGAAAUAAAUUUUUAAAUCGCAUUUAUGGAGUCAUUUCAGAACAAGUAGAAAUCAUGUAAUCUGGUCACUUUGAAUGUGUGUUUGUAUCUGAACUCCUCCUGCCCUAUUAAGAGUGGAAGGUUGUACUAUAUGUUACUCAAAAAGUAAUUUUCCCCAGAUAUGCAAUAAGACCUCAGAUUUGACCUAUAACCUGAAUGUCAUAAGCUAUCCAUUAGCUAUGCUGGAAGCACACCACCAACAACAAAAAAGUUUUAAGUAUUUUUAUAGGCUUGCUAAAAUCUGAUUACAGAACCAAGGCAGUCAAAUACCAUGAGUAAGACUGCAGAAACCCUAGAAUUCAACUCCCUAGUUAUUCUUAAUGAGUGAAUCCUGUGCUUUGUGUCUAAAAGCAAUGUAUUGCACUUUCCAAUUCAGGAAAUGCAUUUUAAUUGCUAUACCCAUUGAUACAUCAAUCUGUCCAUGACAUUCUGACAUAUAUCCAGUUUCCUAUGGAUUCGGUAUAGGAGCAAAUUAAAAGAUGCACUAGAAUGGUAACAUUUAAUCUAUAAUCCUCCAUUUAACCUUUAUGUGACUGUCACUGAAGAAGUCCUGUUUUUAGAGUUGAACCAAAAAACAAACAAAACAAAACAAAACAAAACAAAACAUGCACACACACUAGAGAAAGGGCUUUUUUUUUUUAACCUGUGGACCAUGAAAAUGUUUUGAACAUUCCCCGACCCCCGUGCUUCAACUUUAGCUUGAUAGUGAGAGUAUGUCUUCCUUCAGUUUAAGUUGAACAAACUUCUGCAUAAGACCCUCCAGAAAACCUCUGAACACAUACAGUUUUGGGGGCAAUGGGGACUGAACUAUGUACAAAUAGGUGAUACUUCAGCACACAAUUCCUGGGAUAAAUUUUAUCCUCUUCUCAUUUUUAUUUUUGUGAACUAUAUGGGGUUUUUUAAACAAGUUACAAGAAGCAAAACACAUUUUACCUUUACUCUGUUACAUAUUUCAAAUUAAGCAGAUCCUAAUUAAUUGGGUUACAUUAUAUAACAAUAGCCUUUUUAAUAUCAAAUGGUUUUUAUGAUCUGUCUUCAAUUUUUCUUAAAAUGAGACUGCACUAAAGAUUUUCUUGACAUUUCUGAGAAUUUCAUUUUCAGUUUCAAAAAAUUAUUUAUUCCUUUAAUCUUUCAAUAUGGAAAAGUAAUGAAUAUUGAUUCAUUUUUAGAAGCGCUAACAUCCAAGUAGGUAAACUUCAUGAGUGAUGGCUAUUAAUGUUCUCUUUCAUCUUCUAGACAGAAAAUCAAAGCUAUUUAAAGUAAAGGAUUUGUUUCAAAUCAAUGUAUGUCCACAAGUUAACAUUAAUGUUUACAACACUUUCUGUGAUAAUUGUGUCUUAUUUGGGUGUAUAUAUGUCUUUAUAUCUAUCUGUAAAGAUAUAGUUGCAAGUAGAUGAGAGACGAAUGUUCAUGUUUCUAUAUGGUCUGAAUAAAAGUGUUAUCACUAUGCUAACCUGCAGUGUUAUAAAAUGCA